CCAACAGCUUAAUUUUCUCUCUCUCAAAAGUAUUGGCCUGAGAUUGCAUUAUUUGAUCAAAGAUAAUGGAUCCCAAUGUAGAAAGCAAUUGUCAAGAGAAACAGUCGCUCCGAUCUCCCAAUCCAGUGAGGACCGAGGAGGAAGAAACGGAUAAUUGCGGGAGAGAAAUCGAAAAGAGAGAUUGCACGAAACAGAGCAAGAUCUAGACAGAGAAUGAAGAAGAGGAUCGGAUAUAGGAGGAAGGAAAACGGAUCAAGUGAAAGGAAUUUCGUCUAUCGAGCAUUCAAUCGCGAGUUAAUGGAAGAGUGGGAUCCUUCAUCGCUGUCGAAAUUAUCCAUGAUUGAAAGAGGCCUCCAAAUUUCGGCGGUAAACUUUUUGAAGGAAGCGUUGUAGAAAGCUGGUUGUCCUGUGAGGCGCGAUUUCUUCAAAGCUGUUGUAAAUUGCAAUGCGAACAAGGCAGGUUAUUACAAGCUCAUUGAAGGGAUAACAGUGUGCAUCAACAACCUAACACCGAAACAAUGUGAGAUCGAUGAAUUGUUGAUGCAGGGGCUGAUUGUGGCGUUCGACGAGUGUCGCGGCAGGUCUACGACGUUUCAGAGUGAUGUUGUAAGCCAUGUGUGUACCAGAAUACGAGUGACUCGCUUAUGUGGUGGCUGUGGCAAAGAUGAUAAAGAAUGUGUGAAACGAAAAGUUGUGGAACAAUUGGGUAGAGAACAGGUCAAGUGCUCUGAAGAAUCUGCCAAACUUGCUGUGGAAGCUUUGUGGGAUGAUUGUUACAAUGACAAUCAACCUUUUGACAAGCCGCCAUCGCAGUUAAAAAAACAAUAAGUCGAGUAUAUUUAUCAAAUAAUAAUCAUUUUCCUUUGUUUUGAAUAAUUUUUAUGUGCAGGAUUAGGAAUGUUUUCAUCAGAUCAAUUCUCCAUUUUUUAUCAUUUACAGAA